UGGGGGAUAACGUUCGGAAACGGACGCUAAUACCGCAUACGUCCUACGGGAGAAAGCAGGGGACCUUCGGGCCUUGCGCUAUCAGAUGAGCCUAGGUCGGAUUAGCUAGUUGGUGGGGUAAUGGCUCACCAAGGCGACGAUCCGUAACUGGUCUGAGAGGAUGAUCAGUCACACUGGAACUGAGACACGGUCCAGACUCCUACGGGAGGCAGCAGUGGGGAAUAUUGGACAAUGGGCGAAAGCCUGAUCCAGCCAUGCCGCGUGUGUGAAGAAGGUCUUCGGAUUGUAAAGCACUUUAAGUUGGGAGGAAGGGCAGUAAAUUAAUACUUUGCUGUUUUGACGUUACCGACAGAAUAAGCACCGGCUAACUCUGUGCCAGCAGCCGCGGUAAUACAGAGGGUGCAAGCGUUAAUCGGAAUUACUGGGCGUAAAGCGCGCGUAGGUGGUUCGUUAAGUUGGAUGUGAAAUCCCCGGGCUCAACCUGGGAACUGCAUUCAAAACUGACGAGCUAGAGUAUGGUAGAGGGUGGUGGAAUUUCCUGUGUAGCGGUGAAAUGCGUA
rnacentral:rRNA from 8 species